CGCAAGCCUGACGGAGCAAGACCGCGUGCGGGAUGACGGCCUAAUGGUUGUAAACCGCUUUUCGCUGGGAAGAUGAUGACGGUACCAGAGGAAUCAGCCUCGGCUAACUCCGUGCCAGCAGACGCGGUAAUACGGAGGAGGCAGCGUUAUCCGGAAUUAUUGGGCGUAAAGCGUCCGUAAGUGGUUAUUCAAGUCUGCUGUCAAAGCGUGGGGCUUAACUCCAUAGAGGCAGUGGAAACUGGAUGACUUGAGUGCGGUAAGGGUCGUGGGAAUUCCCAGUGUAGCGGUGAAAUGCGUAGAUAUUGGGAAGAACACCAGUGGCGAAAGCGCUCGACUGGGCCUGCACUGACACUGAGGGACGAAAGCUAGGGGAGCG
rnacentral:rRNA from 1 species